rnacentral:rRNA from 1 species
UACGGAGGGUGCGAGCGUUGUCCGGAAUCACUGGGCGUAAAGGGCGCGUAGGCGGCGCGGUAAGCGUGCGGUGAAAGCCCGGGGCUCAACCCCGGGUCGGCCGUGCGGACUGCCGGGCUCGAGCACUGUAGAGGCGGGUGGAAUUCCGGGUGUAGCGGUGGAAUGCGCAGAUAUCAGGAAGAACACCCGUGGCGAAGGCGGCUCUCUGGGACGGUACUGACGCUGAGACGCGAAAGCGUGGGGAGCGAACAGG